AUCCUCUUUCUCUAAUGGUUUGCUUUUGCAUCCCAUGCAAGCCUGCCGCUCAGUGCUGGACAGAAGAGACAGAAGAUCGCUCAUGAGAAGUUCUCCAGCAAACAGUCAGCAGCCCAACAGCCAAGACACAGAAUUUAUGUUCCUUUAUGUCAGCAGUCCCUUACCAUAGCUUCUGGGUGAAGCCUCCCAAUAAGUUCACAGCCUUCCUGAAGAAAGCUCAAACACGUGAUGUGCAGGAGGGAACUACCUGGACUCUAUUUACUUAAUGUGUGAAGUAGAACAAUUUUGUCCAGGUUUGGUACUUGACGGUUUGUUACUAAGAGGCAAAAAACACCAGGGCUCCAACAUUUUGAAGCUCACAAUCAACAGCCUUCCUUAGAAAUGCAGAAACAUAUACAGAAGUUUCAUUAUCUACAGACUAGAAUAACAUCUCUCAAGAAACUGAAAUCUCUGAAGAGCCAGAUGCCCCUUACAAGCAACACCCUGUUCCCAACACGAUGCACACAAGUUCCAAAAAAUCACCCUCUGACUGGAGCCCUCUCUGGGUAAUCGCCCUCCUACCUACAUUACUUGGUUAAGCUUUCUCUUCUCACUAGCCCUCACACCUUUAACAGACUGAGAAAUGUAAACUAGUUCCUGACUGAUCACUUGCUGACUAGAGGGUGCCAGAAGAACUUCACUGCUUUGCCUUCCGCAGAGCUCCCAGACUCUAGGUAUGGCUGCCUGAACAACCAAGGACCCCCCAGCCCCAAGUCAAUGGCUUUUCUAUAAUACGUUCAUUUAAAAUAUCUGGUAAGGCAAGAAUAUUAUCUAACUUUGGCCAGACAGAAUGAUACAGCUCAAUAUUGCUUACUCCUUAUAUUUAACAAAGGAGAGAAAGCCUGCCACGUUAGUAUUUGCUCAUGCUUGUAUCUUCCUUGCAGAUAAAGGAAACUUAUUCUGAUUGUGCUUACCCAUAAUAAAAGCUAAUCAAAGAAGGGCAAUUACUGGUAACGUUUGAUUAAAACGAGCAAAACGUUGUUCCAUCAAACAAUAUUGUUUUAUGCCAUUAUCUUGAGAACUGCACCAUCUGGUACUAACAUGGAAGUACAUUUGCUGCCUAAAGCUAAAAAACUGUCCGAAUCAGGGCUGUCCGGACUUUGAGCCCAGAUUUACAGAACUGAAUUCACUGUAUAUUAGCAAGUUACUUUUGUAGUGUAGUAUUGCAACAGGUAUAUUCUGGUCUGGGUUCAUAAUCACAGCUGUUUGUGAAUAGCAAUCAAACUUUAUAAAUAGGAUUACUCUUUACAGAAUUAUUAAAAUGCAUAGAAGCUUUUUUUUCUUUUCCAAAAGGGAAGUGGUAUUUCUUUCAUUAAGACAAAAAAAUAUGAGCUUUCUGAAGUUGCAUCAUAACUUUUUGUGGUUGCAUCACAGUAAGAACAGGUCACAAUUGAGAGAGAGACUGCAUGCCACUUGAAAUACCUUAGAAACCUUAGAAAUGAUUUCUAUUUCCAUGUAUAAAAUAACUGUCUAUGGAAAAAUCUAUUUUAUAUUUGCCUUAUUCUAGUUUCUGUUCUGGACUCCUGAUACAUGAGAUUUCCACUGGAGUAUCCUAUUGCACUAGAUGAACGUUACUGACUUUUUUUCUAGGAGAGCAAAAACCUAUUAUCUCACAUGAAAUGCGAGGCCCAUUCAUUGUGUUCCAGUUGAUAAAUCAGGAUCACUUCAUCUGUGGACAUUCACUACAUAAAAGUUGUUACUUAACACCCCAAAGACAGUAUUGUUAGUUGCUUUCAGAGCUAUUCUCUCAAAGUGCAGUAUGCUAUCUCCACUGAUCCCACAUGCUGUAAAAUGGGUGGUUAAGCCCUGAUUCUCUCAUUCGUUCAAGUCAAAAAAUGAAGGAAGACACUUGCAGUUCAUUUCACAACAAAUCUGCUGAGAGUCUGAAUUCAAAAUAAAAACUACUUGCUCCUUACGUUUUGAAUAAGUCAGUAUUACUAUACUAAUAAAUGUAUGGACUAGAACAGUUGAGGAGAUUUCUAAUUAUGGAAGUGUUGCACGACAUUUUUAAAGAAAAGCCUGUACUAACCAAUCUCUAGUUAUACCAAUGCUCUGCUCUUCUCAAAAGUUACAUCCAUUAAACAAGCGUCUUUGAAUGCUAUGCACUUGGAAGUUCUGUCUGCAUCCAGAAAACCCCCUAUUACCAACAGGGUCUAGUGUUUCUGGCACUUCAUAGCUCAC